rnacentral:rRNA from 1 species
GGCGCACGGGAUGAGUAACGCGUGGGAACCUACCUUUCAGUUCGGGAUAACAGUUGGACUGCUAAUACCGUAUACGCCCUCAGGGGGAAAGGUCAGCCGCUGAAAGAGGGGCCCGCGUCUGAUUAGCUUGUUGGUAGGGUAAAAGCCUACCAAGGCUACGAUCAGUAGCUGGUCUGAGAGGAUGAUCAGCCACACUGGGACUGAGACACGGCCCAGACUCCUACGGGAGGCAGCAGUCGGGAAUAUUGGACAAUGGAGGAAACUCUGAUCCAGCAAUGCCGCGUGUGUGAUGAAGGCCCUAGGGUUGUAAAGCACUUUCAACGGUGAAGAUGAUGACGGUAGCCGUAGAAGAAGCCCCGGCUAACUUCGUGCCAGCAGCCGCGGUAAUACGAAGGGGGCGAGCGUUGUUCGGAAUUAUUGGGCGUAAAGGGCGC